rfam:Acidobacteria bacterium 13_1_40CM_65_14 13_1_40cm_scaffold_4544, whole genome shotgun sequence.
GCAGCGAGCCAGACGAUCGCCCUCCUUCGCCCGCUUCGCGGGCUUCGGAGGGCAGGCCCCUGAACUUGGGCUUGCCCACCGUAGCGCGAAGCGCGGAGGUGGGAGGAAAGUCCGAACUCCGCAGGGCAGUGCGCCGGGUAACGCCCGGUCAGGGCAACCUGAAGGACAGUGGCACAGAAAACAUACCGCUAACCUUGUGGUGUCCGGCUUUAGCCGGACCUGCAGGAAGCAAGGGUGAAAAGGUGCGGUAAGAGCGCACCGCGCCCGUGGUAACACGGGUGGCAGGCAAAACCCCGCACGGAGCAAGACCAAAUAGGGAGACAUUGGGACGGCCCGUCCUUCGUCUCCGGGUCGGUCGCUUGAUUCCGUCAGCGAUGACGGGACUAGAGGAAUGAUCGUCACGCCGAAGCCGCGCAAGCGGCGAAGGCGGACAGAAUUCGGCUUACGGCUCGCUGCGAUU